rnacentral:rRNA from 1 species
CGAGAGGACCGGAGUGGACGCACCUCUGGUGUUCCGGUUGUCACGCCAGUGGCAUUGCCGGGUAGCUAUGUGCGGACGGGAUAACCGCUGAAGGCAUCUAAGCGGGAAGCCCCCUUCAAGAUGAGAUCUCCCCGAGGCCUCGAGCCUCCUGAAGGGCCCAGCGAGACCAGCUGGUUGAUAGGCACGGUGUGGAAGCGCUGCAAGGCGUUGAGCUAACGUGUACUAAUGGCCCGUGAGGCUUGACCAUAUAACACCCAAAGGGUUUUGUA